rnacentral:rRNA from 1 species
UACGUGGGGUCCGAGCGUUGUUCGGAAUUACUGGGCGUAAAGCGCACAUAGGCGGGCAAGAAAGUCGAUUGUGAAAGCCCUGGGCUAAACCUGGGAACUGCAGUCGAAACUUCUUGUCUUGAAUACCUGAGAGGGUGGGGGAAUUCCUGGUGGAGUAGUGAAAUACGUAGAGAUCAGGAGGAACACCGGAGGCGAAGGCGCUGCCUGGCGGUGUAUUGACGCUAAUUGUGCGAAAGCGCGGGGAGCAAACAGG